rnacentral:rRNA from 1 species
GAUGAACGCUGGCGGCGUGCCUAGUACAUGCAAGUCGAGCGAACGGACGAGAAGCUUGCCUCUCUGAUGUUAGCGGCGGACGGGUGAGUAACACGUGGAUAACCUACCUAUAAGACUGGGAUAACUUCGGGAAACCGUAGCUAAUACCGGAUAAUAUUUUGAACCGCAUGGUUCAAAAGUGAAAGACGGUCUUGCUGUCACUUAUAGAUGGAUCCGCGCUGCAUUAUCUAGUUGGUAAGGUAACGGCUUACCAAGGCAACGAUGCAUAGCCGACCUGAGAGGGUGAUCGGCCACACUGGAACUGAGACACGGUCCAGACUCCUACGGGAGGCAGCAGUAGGGAAUCUUCCGCAAUGGGCGAAAGCCUGACGGAGCAACGCCGCGUGAGUGAUGAAGGUCUUCGGAUCGUAAAACUCUGUUAUUAGGGAAGAACAUAUGUGUAAGUAACUGUGCACAUCUUGACGGUACCUAAUCAGAAAGCCACGGCUAACUACGUG